AAAUAUAGACCUUACAUACAUAGGGACAGAGAAAGAAAAGAAAAAAAAAAUGUACCUAGCUAAAUGCAAAAAAAAAAUAUCUGUGAGCUAAAAAAAGAUCUAUAAGCUAACAGCUAAACUAUCAGUUACUGACCCGCUCUCGGUCCUCCCACCUGCUGUGCGUGAAGAUCUAGACCGAGUGGGGCAGUAACCCAGCAGACUCUUGCCUCCGGCCUUUAUUGCAGGGUACCUAUUCCCCUGCUGGUGGGACAUAACGGCAAAGCAACAGGGCAGGGCACCAGCAGCCUAACAGUCCCUAACUGGCUGCGUCCCCCAUAAAUGGGUCUUGUACUAGACUCUUGCCUAGUACAAUUGUACUAGCACCGUCCGAACAAGUCGUCUAACAUUACUAGUCCAAUUUUUUUUUUUUUUUUUGCAUUAGUACUAGUAAUGAUUAGUGCCGGCAGCCCUAACUAACUGGCCUAACUGCUGCCGUCCCCCAUAAAUGGGUCUUGUACUAGACUGUCGUCUAGGCGUUUAGCACUAGCACCGUCCGAACAAGUCGUCUAACAUUACUAGACCAAUAAAAUAUUCAUUUUUUUUUUUAAACAUUAGUACUAGUAAUGAUUAGUGCCAGGCAGCCUAACUACCCUACCUAACUGUCUGCCAGCCCCAUAAAUGGGUUUUGUACCAGACUCUUUUCUAGUAAAUAAUG